rnacentral:lncRNA from 1 species
CACCUCGCGGUCCUUGAGGCCCAGGAGCAGCACCUCCUCCAUCAGGGUGAGCCUCGUUUCCUUGGAGUCCCCCUUCUCGUCGUCUCCCGGCUCUUCCCGGCGGCCUUCAUCCUCAGAGCCGCCCCCGGCCCCCCUCUCCUUGUCGGCGGCGGCGCUGCGGGACGCCUCGAGCACUGCCAAUAGGCAAAACCAAAGGAGGGCAAACCAGAAACAUUUCAGCAUUGGAUUCCACUGGCACUGAAGCCCUGUGUAGUACCAAGAGCUGCUGUUUGGGAGGGGGACCACACACCUUGUUGGAUCUUCACUGUGAGACCCCGCCGUGCCAGGCUGACUGACAAGCGUCUUAGGAAGACCAAAGGCAGACACAGAAAGGCUUUAACUUUUCACAAAGAUUUCCUUCAUUUCAUGUAUUUCCAGGUCCUCCCAUUUUCUCCUCACCUGUGGAGUUCAGACGAUUGCUAGCUCCUGAAAUCUUUGUAUUUUAAUGGUAUCUUCCUGUGUGUGAGCAACGUUGCUCAGUAGCAAGAAUGUACUUGUUAUUUUAACACUGCAAUUAUAGUUCUGAAAUAAUGAAGACAAAGUAUCAGUUAAAGGGCAGUUUGUAAGGAAGAUGCAUUUUCAUUUCUACAGAGUGAUUCAAUCCAACCAUUAUCAGUAGAAAAAAUGUGUAGCUGUCUUACUUAGCAAGUUCAGUGAGAAAAAUGAGGUGGAAGUCCUGUGAAACCAACACCAACAUGGUCAGUGGGAUUCUGGCAAAAUUUAAAGCACUUAAUCAAAUGGCUUUUAUAUGAAAUCAGUUUCAAAAAACCUUCAUUUCCCUUCCCAUGUAGCAAAUCAGUAACUAUCUGUUCUCUGUUAAGUAUGUAAAUACUCAUCAACUCAUUGAAAAAUACAUAAAGCCAGAUGGUGUGCAGAA